ACUCUCUCCUCGUAUCUUGUUUCUUUCUUUCUCUACCACACAUAUCAUCUUCUCUUUGACAACAACAGAAUAAAUGUCCCAACCAACACUAGGAGAGCCAUCACAAAUCCUUCCUCUUGGUUUGUCCAUUCUAUGAUCUCGUUUUAAACAGCUUCUCUCUCUAUCUUUAACAAAGGUUUCUUCUCUUCCAUACUCAUGCCCUACGUCACUUCAGAUCUCAAGAUCGCAAUUAUCUUUUUUACUUUCAGAGCAAAGCAUAGUAAAAUGAUUGAUUACAUACUCGGUAAAAGCCUUCAGAAUAUGAGUUAUAUUUUGAGUACCACUCCCCCCAAAACCCACAAUAUAACUCAUGUUCUGUGGGUUUUUACCGAGUAUGGAGGAAAUCUCGAGAUUUGUGUAUGAUUGCUGCUAGGGAGAGCAAAGAAGAGGCUCUUUAUGGUUCAGAUAUGGUUCAUGGUUUGGUGAAUGUGGAUUUUGCUGGGUGUGAGGCCUAUUUGUCGUCCUGAGUCCUGGCCAGCUUCUUAAGUGUCGGCUUGCUAUUAUUUUAAGGGAACUAUUCGUGGUGGUGGAUAUUUACAUCUGUUGCUUUCCCACUUGAUCAUCCUUUUCAGCUCAUCAUGGAUCUUUAUGUCGAUUUUUUACUUAUGAAUUAACUCCAUUCCCUAAGUGGUUUCUGCUUAACUCCAUUCCCUAUGUACAUCAAUUAUAUGGAAUCAGAUGUAGAAACACUAUUUUAUUUGUCCU